rnacentral:rRNA from 1 species
UACGUAGGGGGCAAGCGUUGUCCGGAUUUAUUGGGCGUAAAGAGCGUGUAGGCGGCUAGGUAGGUCCGUUGUGAAAACUCGAGGCUCAACCUCGAGCUGUCGAUGGAAACCAUCUGGCUAGAGUCCGGAAGAGGAGAGUGGAAUUCCUGGUGUAGCGGUGAAAUGCGCAGAUAUCAGGAAGAACACCAGUGGCGAAGGCGGCUCUCUGGUACGUGACUGACGCUGAGACGCGAAAGCGUGGGGAGCGAACAGG